rnacentral:rRNA from 1 species
GGUCUUGACAUACCGUUGACCACUGUAGAGAUAUGGUUUCCCCUUCGGGGGCAACGGUGACAGGUGGUGCAUGGUUGUCGUCAGCUCGUGUCGUGAGAUGUUGGGUUAAGUCCCGCAACGAGCGCAACCCUUGAUCUUAGUUGCCAUCAUUUAGUUGGGCACUCUAAGGUGACUGCCGGUGACAAACCGGAGGAAGGUGGGGAUGACGUCAAAUCAUCAUGCCCCUUAUGACCUGGGCUACACACGUGCUACAAUGGACGAUACAAACGGUUGCCAACUCGCGAGAGGGAGCUAAUCC